CCUACGGGAGGCAGCAGUGAGGAAUAUUGGUCAAUGGCCGUAAGGCUGAACCAGCCAAGUCGCGUGAAGGAAGAAGGAUCUAUGGUUUGUAAACUUCUUUUAUAGAGGAAUAAAGGUAUCCACGUGUGGAUAUUUGCAUGUACCCUAUGAAUAAGCAUCGGCUAACUCCGUGCCAGCAGCCGCGGUAAUACGGAGGAUGCGAGCGUUAUCCGGAUUUAUUGGGUUUAAAGGGUGCGUAGGUGGGUUUUUAAGUCAGCGGUGAAAGUUUGUGGCUCAACCAUAAAAUUGCCGUUGAAACUGGCAGACUUGAGUGUGUUUGAGGUAGGCGGAAUGCGUGGUGUAGCGGUGAAAUGCAUAGAUAUCACGCAGAACUCCGAUUGCGAAGGCAGCUUACUAAGCCAUAACUGACACUGAAGCACGAAAGCGUGGGGAUCAAACAGGAUUAGAUACCCGGGUAGUC
rnacentral:rRNA from 1 species